AGAGUUUGAUCAUGGCUCAGGAUGAACGCUAGCGGCAGGCCUAAUACAUGCAAGUCGAACGAGAGUCGCAAGACUCUAGUGGCGCACGGGUGCGUAACACGUAGGUAACCUACCUUUUACCGGGGGAUAACGCUGGGAAACCAGCGCUAAUACCGCAUGAGACAACACAGGGGCAUCCCUUAGUUGUGAAAGACUCUCUGCAAGGGGAGCUUGGUAAAAGAUGGGCCUGCGCCUGAUUAGUUAGUUGGUGGUGUAACAGACCACCAAGACUUUGAUCAGUAGGGGUUCUGAGAGGAAGAUCCCCCACACUGGCACUGAGAUACGGGCCAGACUCCUACGGGAGGCAGCAGUAGGGAAUAUUGGGCAAUGGAGGGAAACUCUGACCCAGCCAUGCCGCGUGCAGGAAGAAGGCGCUCAGCGUUGUAAACUGCUUUUGCCCGGGAAGAAUGCCUAGUACGCGUACUAGAGUUGACGGUACCGGGUGAAUAAGCACCGGCUAACUCCGUGCCAGCAGCCGCGGUAAUACGGAGGGUGCAAGCGUUGUCCGGAUUUAUUGGGUUUAAAGGGUGCGUAGGUGGCUUGUUAAGUCCGGGGUGAAAGGCAGUGGCUCAACCACAUGCAGUGCCCUGGAUACUGGCAGGCUCGAGUAAGUUUGAGGCCGGUGGAACGGGUGGUGUAGCGGUGAAAUGCAUAGAUACCAUCCAGAACACCGAUUGCGGAGGCAGCCGGCUAAGACUUUACUGACACUGAGGCACGAAAGCGUGGGGAGCAAACAGGAUUAGAUACCCUAGUAGUCC
rnacentral:rRNA from 1 species